rnacentral:rRNA from 1 species
GUAACCCUCUUGGUGUAAAAGUAAAUUUCUUAGCUUGGAACUGCGAAUGGCUCAAUUUUUCAGUUAUAGGUUAUCCUUAUUAUUGUACUACUUGGAUACCGUAGUAAUUCUAGGAGCUUUACAUGAAUAAGUCCUCUAGACAAUGUGUGUUUAUUAAAAAUAAAACCCCAUGGCUUCCCCUUGCUAGGAGUUUAAUAGUAACCUACAUAUAUCGAUGCUUUAAUAACGCGAUGAGUCCAAGUGUUUGCCCCAUAUCCUUUCUCGGGGGGAGUAUAGGAGCCUACUGUGACAGAACGGAAUGAAAAAAA